rnacentral:rRNA from 1 species
UGAACGCUAGCUACAGGCUUAACACAUGCACGUCGAGGGGCAGCAUGAUUGAAGCUUGCUUCAAUCGAUGGCGACCGGCGCACGGGUGAGUAACACGUAUCCAACCUGCCGAUAACUCGGGGAUAGCCUUUCGAAAGAAAGAUUAAUACCCGAUAGUAUAGUAUUUCCGCAUGGUUUCACUAUUAAAGAACUUCGGUUAUCGAUGGGGAUGCGUUCCAUUAGAUAGUUGGCGGGGUAACGGCCCACCAAGUCAACGAUGGAUAGGGGUUCUGAGAGGAAGGCACCCCACAUUGGAACUGAGACACGGUCCAAACUCCUACGGGAGGCAGCAGUGAGGAAUAUUAGUCAAUGGACGAGAGUCUGAACCAGCCAAGUAGCGUGAAGGAUGACUGCCCUAUGGGUUGUAAACUUCUUUUAUACGGGAAUAAAGUGGAGUAUGCAUACUCCUUUGUAUGUACCGUAUGAAUAAGGAUCGGCUAACUCCGUG